CAAUAGCGUAUAUUAAAGUUGUUGCAGUUAAAAAGCUCGUAGUUGAAUUUUUGCUUGCCGCCGAUGUCGGAACUUCCGUACGUUCGGCGGCGUGCAUCCUUGGGUGGAACCUGUGUGGCAUUAGGUUGUCGUGCAGGGGAUGCUCAUCGUUUACUGUGAAAAAAUUAGAGUGUUCAAAGCAGGCUUAUGCCGUUGAAUAUAUUAGCAUGGAAUAAUAAGAUAGGACCUUGGUACUAUUUUGUUGGUUUGCGCACCGAGGUAAUGAUUAACGGGGACAGUUGGGGGUAUUCGUAUUCCAUUGUCAGAGGUGAAAUUCUUGGAUUUCUGGAAGACGAACUACUGCGAAAGCAUUUACCAAGGAUGUUUUCAUUAA
rnacentral:rRNA from 1 species